UACGUAGGGGGCGAGCGUUGUCCGAAUUUACUGGGCGUAAAGAGCGCGUAGGCGGGUUGUUAAGUGAGAGGUGAAAGGUUCAGGGCUCAACCCGAACAGUGCCUUUCAUACUGGCGACCUUGAGUAUGGGAGAGGCGAGUGGAAUUUCUGGUGUAGCGGUGAAAUGCGUAGAUAUCAGAAGGAACACCCAUGGCGAAGGCAGCUCGCUGGCCUAUAACUGACGCUGAGGCGCGAAAGCGUGGGGA
rnacentral:rRNA from 1 species